rnacentral:rRNA from 1 species
UACGAAGGGGGCUAGCGUUGUUCGGAAUUACUGGGCGUAAAGCGCGCGUAGGCGGUGAUCUAUGUCAGGGGUGAAAUCCCGGGACUCAACUCCGGAAUUGCCUUUGAAACGGGAUCGCUAGAGUCCGAGAGAGGAUGGCGGAAUUCCUAGUGUAGAGGUGAAAUUCGUAGAUAUUAGGAAGAACACCGGUGGCGAAGGCGGCCAUCUGGCUCGGUACUGACGCUCAGGCGCGAAAGCGUGGGGAGCAAACAGG